rnacentral:rRNA from 1 species
GGGUAGUAUAAGUUAAAAUUUUUAAACUCAAAGGAUUUGGCGGUAUUUUAUCUAAUUAGAGGAACCUGUUUAAUAAUUGAUAAUCCACAAUUUAAACUUAUUUCUAUUAAAUUAUUUGUAUACCGUUGUCAUGAAUCUACUAAAAAGUAAUUUUCAAGAUUUUUUAUAAAAUUUAUGUUAGAUCAAGGUGCAGUUUUUAGAAGAAAAAAAUGGGUUACAUUAUUUAUGAUGAAUGAAAGUUAUUAAAAAAUUAAUAAUGGAAAGAGGAUUUAAUAGUAAAAGAAAGUUAAUAGAAAUUUUUUAUGAAUUUAGAUUCUAAAAUAUG